GGGACAAAGGCAGAAGGGGAAAAGAAAAGCGGAGGAAAAAAAAGAAAGAAAGAAAGGAAGAAAACGCAAACGGCGGUUACUGACAGGCUGGGCGAGCGCUCGGGGGCUCAAACUGCCUGGAGACAGGCGGGGCUCCUGCUGAGGCUUGGUCCGCCCGGACGAGUAAGGAGAGGAGCCAGGGAGGACCUGCUGGCGUGAGACGCCUCUGCCCGGUAGAAGAUACUGGAAGAUCAACUCUAAUUUGUGGCUGCCUUCCCAGCAGUCUCUACUUCAGCAUAUCUGGGAGCCAGAAGCACUCAAGUUUGAUAACUCAAAAGACAGAACAAUCAGUCAAGGGGAUGGAUGAAAUAUUUCUUCUGUGCUCUGAAUAUAGGGUAUGAUCUCAGAGCUCUCUGUGCCAGCAGAAUCAGUCUGAAACUCAGCCAGAAGUUCUUCGUGAUUAAAGGUGCCAUCUGAGCGCACAAUAUUUUUUUAAAAGCCUUGCAAAAUGGGGCCGGGCACGGUGGCUCAUGCCUGUAAUCCCAGCACUUUGGGAGGCUGAGGUGGGCAGAUCACGAGGUCGGGAGUUUGAGACCAGCCUGGCCCACGUGGUGAAACUCCAUCUAUACUAAAAAUAAAAAAACUAGCUGGGCAUGUUGGCAGGCGCUUGUAAUCCCAGCUACUCGGGAGGCUGAGGCAGGAGAAUCAUUUGAAUGCAGGAGGCAGAGGUUGCAGUGAGCCGACAUCACGCCAUUGCACUCCAGCCUGGACGACAGGGCGAGAC
rnacentral:lncRNA from 1 species